GUGCGGAUGUGCGCUAACCACUCUAUACAUGCAAGUAGUGUGAAGGCUUUGCAUUUAAAGAGAGAAUAAUAAUGAAAACAAAAAAACAACUAAAAAACCAUAAGAACAACAUGCAUAGGAGUUUGUGUGUUACAUUCCGCUUCAUGCCACCGUCUAGGUAAGUGCAUCUGGUCAGUUAUGCCCGGGCACAUUUCCACUAGGCCACUUCUUGUAGGAAGAGAUGCCCACAGUGCUGUUAAUUAUGCCCAGCUAUCGCAACAUUAUGCAUGGGUAGUAAGUUAGACUAGAUACAGGUGGGGGAUAGGGUGGGGGAAGGUGAUUUGGUCGAUGGACCUUCCAUUUUGAGGGGUGAAACAAGCAUGCUAGCACUUAGUGACAGUGACAUUACUGUGGCAGUGAAACAAGGUAAUUAUUUAUGAAUGUGCAGUUUUUUUAUCGUUUAUGCUCAG